UCACUUUUGAUUAAAUUUUGACAAAAAUUAUAUUUGCUUUAAUUAAAAGUUCAGUUUAAAGAUAGUUCUAUAUAAGUGAAUUUGUUGAAACGAUGGGAAAAUUUGUAGAGUUUCUCUCAAAAUUAGUAUUGGAAUCAAAAUACUUGCGUAAAGAGGAUGACGAUUCACCCAUUUUGGAAUUCAUUGGCUGUAUCAGUUUAUUUAUUAUAUUUUAUAAAUUUUACUUUUAUAUAGAAAAUUGCACAAAUACAGGACCCACUUUAGAGACCAAACCUAUGCAAAAUGAGGUACCGCCGUUAACAAAUAAAAAAAAAAUUAAAAUUAAAAGAAAGAAGUUGGAUAAACUUAAAAGAAAAAAACAAUUACAAUAAACUUCUCAAUUAUAAGGAUAAAACAUAUAAAAUCUAGGGUACAAAAUCCGAAAAAGUCAAUAGAAAGUAAAUUUAAUCAACAAUGGGCAACCAGUCUUAGUAUCAUUAGAAACAAAAUUACGGAUUCGAAAAUAGUACGCUUACCAAAAAAAGAAAAUCUGGAAAAUAUCUCAAAGUCAUGAUUAUUAAUAUAUGGUUGAACAAAUUGCUGGAUGAAACAUUAAAAUUAUAAAUACUUGAAUUUAAUAAAAAAUCAACAGUAUAUCGAAAAUAUUUACAUCCUUAUGAGACAUAUAUUUUAUAAAU